rnacentral:lncRNA from 1 species
AGGAGUGAAAAGAGAGGUCCUACCAGGCCAUAGGAACCCCUGGAGCUAUGGGUUAAUUAUUGUCUGAUCCAGCUGAGAAGUCCCAAAGCAGUGGAAACACCAUCUAUACAUAAAAAGUGAAUUGUGGUUAUGGAAGGCCAUAAGAGAGCCCAAGAUCACACUGCAGAGAUGAUUUUCACUCUCAACUCUCACUGCUCUUCCCAGCCUUGCAGGAUUGCACUGAAUUUCUUGGGUUCAACAUAAAACCAAAAACUGAGCCUAAAUUUCUUCAGCAGCUGUUGGCUUCUGCACGGCCAUUCCCAGGAGCAGCAGAUGCACUGUGGAUCCCAGGUCAGCUCAGCUGAGAGCAGCCAGAGCAGCUCCAGAGCACUGUAUUGUUUGGACUCUGAUUGUGGAAUCGCUGCUCUCUGCAGGCUGUGGGUGGUGACUCGGGUGCUAUAAUUACCACUCUAAUUACAUUGGCACGUUUCCUUCUUGGCGAGCCCCACGGAAUUACAGUCCCGUUACCUGACCUGGCUUUCUGAUAGUCCUACCACAAUGGGCUGCAGAGUUUUGCUUUUGGUCUGGCCACAAGCCGGUAGGCUUAGUGUGAGUUAAAAGGCCAGGAAUGCCAAGGUAGGUUGGUUUUUUUGUUCUCCUAGAGCAAAAAAAUACUUUGUCAAUGUCCGCUUUGACUGCAAGUUUUACUUGUGGCUCCUUCACAAGGUGAGGAGGAGGAGGAGGAAUGAAGGAACCAGAACACUGGAAAGAUCUGGUACUUCAAAGGAGAAGGGACUAGCAAAUCUUGCUUAUCUUUAACUUCUGCCUCAUGCAACUGCAUCGUAAACACACAAAAAACUGGGUGUGUCUGAUAAAUAUGUCACCUGGGGCACUGGAUCAAGUUAUUUGCAUUGAGCUUUGGUGUUAAUGUCGUAGUGGUAAUUCUCAUUUCUCCUGUAGAUACUGCUUCAGGAUUCGGUGGGCUCAAAAACUCAAAACCAUCCUGUGCUGCCCACGGAACCCAGCUCACCUCUGCAUUUGAUGCUGCCCAUAACUGAGCCCGUGUUAACCCUGAAUCACAUAAAACAAAGAGAAUGCUCUAUGUGCCAUGGGGUCUUCAGGUGAGGAACCCAGAAAACGCUUUUUUGCUCUCUUCUCUCUCAGCAUCAGACAGGGUUUCUGCAGAAGAGCUGUGAGGAGUUUCCACGCUCCUCCAAGCUGGAUCCCACGCUGCAGCCCUGGGUUGGGAGCCAGAGCUGCAUCCCAGCAGGCCGUGGUCUGGAUGAAACCAGAGACUCCACUGCAAAUCUUUUGCAGAUCCCUCUUUCCUUUAGAGCACUCAGGAGGAUUCGGUUUUGGUGACUUUGCUGAACAAUUCUCUCAAUCAAAGCUGCUUCUUGAAACUCUCCAUUUUUUUUUUUUCUGACGGAUUUUUCUCCCUGCUGAUCCCCCCUGGGAACGGGGCUGUAACAGGACGUUCAGCACUUCUCUGUGUCAGCCUGCAGCUGCCUGAGGUAGCCACUUCACCCGAGGAAAUUAUUUGAGGUUUUUCUGAGAGCCUCUUGACAGUAGGUAAAGAUUGUUUCAGCUCGUGGGAGUGCCAGCUAGAAGCCUCCAUAACCUGAAUGACAUGCAAUGUCAUAAAAAUUCCUGCUAAAACUCACUCUGUCCGUGCCAGAUGCCGAUUCUGACAUCAGGGUCUGUAAUUUCAACCAUCACUUAUGCUCAUCUGCAUAUGAACUGGCAAGUUGGAGAUGGCCUACAGGUAUCUCCUAACAGGAGACCCUUCCACAGAUUAUUUUAGCUAAGAAUGUAACUCUCCACGUCUUGCAGAUCUCUUCCCCGUUCUCUCAGGGCAGAAAACAAAAUGUACUACUGUGAGAAAAAGGGAGAAAUGGAUGAUUUUUGGCCAAAACUCUUGUGUGGUGACUAAGCAGACUGCAGUCUGAUGUGUCUCAGUCAGAACAAUCCCAUUUUGAU